AGCAGUAAAUGUGGAGCCGUAGCGAAAGCGAGUCUGAAUAGGGCGUUUAGUAUUUGGUCGUAGACCCGAAACCAGGUGAUCUACCCUUGGUCAGGUUGAAGUUCAGGUAACACUGAAUGGAGGACCGAACCGACUUACGUUGAAAAGUGAGCGGAUGAACUGAGGGUAGCGGAGAAAUUCCAAUCGAACCUGGAGAUAGCUGGUUCUCUCCGAAAUAGCUUUAGGGCUAGCCUCAAGUGAUGAUUAUUGGAGGUAGAGCACUGUUUGGACGAGGGGCCCCUCUCGGGUUACCGAAUUCAGACAAACUCCGAAUGCCAAUUAAUUUAACUUGGGAGUCAGAACAUGGGUGAUAAGGUCCGUGUUCGAAAGGGAAACAGCCCAGACCACCAGCUAAGGUCCCAAAAUAUAUGUUAAGUGGAAAAGGAUGUGGCGUUGCCCAGACAACUAGGAUGUUGGCUUAGAAGCAGCCAUCAUUUAAAGAGUGCGUAAUAGCUCACUAGUCGAGUGACACUGCGCCGAAAAUGUACCGGGGCUAAACAUAUUACCGAAGCUGUGGAUUGUCCUUUGGACAAUGGUAGGAGAGCGUUCUAAGGGCGUUGAAGCAUGAUCGUAAGGACAUGUGGAGCGCUUAGAAGUGAGAAUGCCGGUGUGAGUAGCGAAAGACGGGUGAGAAUCCCGUCCACCGAUUGACUAAGGUUUCCAGAGGAAGGCUCGUCCGCUCUGGGUUAGUCGGGUCCUAAGCUGAGGCCGACAGGCGUAGGCGAUGGAUAACAGGUUGAUAUUCCUGUACCACCUAUAAUCGUUUUAAUCGAUGGGGGGACGCAGUAGGAUAGGCGAAGCGUGCGAUUGGAUUGCACGUCUAAGCAGUAAGGCUGAGUAUUAGGCAAAUCCGGUACUCAUUAAGGCUGAGCUGUGAUGGGGAGAAGACAUUGUGUCUUCGAGUCGUUGAUUUCACACUGCCGAGAAAAGCCUCUAGAUAGAAAAUAGGUGCCCGUACCGCAAACCGACACAGGUAGUCAAGAUGAGAAUUCUAAGGUGAGCGAGCGAACUCUC
rnacentral:rRNA from 1 species